rnacentral:tRNA from 1 species
GGUAGUAUGGCCGAGAGUGAGGCGGUGAGCUGUAGACUCAUAGAGGGGRCAGAGCACGGGCCCUUGCUACCA